GAUCCUGGCUCAGAUUGAACGCUGGCGGCAGGCCUAACACAUGCAAGUCGAACGGUAACAGGAAACAGCUUGCUGUUUCGCUGACGAGUGGCGGACGGGUGAGUAAUGUCUGGGAAACUGCCUGAUGGAGGGGGAUAACUACUGGAAACGGUAGCUAAUACCGCAUAAUGUCGCAAGACCAAAGAGGGGGGACCUUCGGGCCGUCUUGCCAUCGGAUGUGCCCACGAUGGGAUUAGCUAGUAGGUGGGGG
rnacentral:rRNA from 1 species